rnacentral:rRNA from 1 species
AGAGUUUGAUCCUGGCUCAGGAUGAACGCUGGCGGCGUGCCUAACACAUGCAAGUCGAGCGAGAAGGUUUAGAAUGAUUCUUCGGAUGAAUGAUAAACUGGAGAGCGGCGGACGGGUGAGUAACGCGUGGGUAACCUGCCCUAUGGAGGGGGAUAACUAAGAGAAAUUUUAGCUAAUACCGCAUAAGCACACAGGACCACAUGGUCUAGUGUGAAAAACUCCGGUGCCAUAGGAUGGACCCGCGUAAGAUUAGCUAGUUGGUAAGGUAAUGGCUUACCAAGGCGACGAUCUUUAGCCGACCUGAGAGGGUGAUCGGCCACAUUGGGACUGAGACACGGCCCAAACUCCUACGGGAGGCAGCAGUGGGGGAUAUUGCACAAUGGGCGAAAGCCUGAUGCAGCAACGCCGCGUGAGGGAAGACGGUUUUCGGAUUGUAAACCUCUGUCUUCGGUGAAGAAUAAAAUGACGGUAGCCGAGGAGGAAGCCACGGCUAACUACGUGCCAGCAGCCGCGGUAAUACGUAGGUGGCAAGCGUUGUCCGGAAUUACUGGGUGUAAAGGGAGCGCAGGCGGGAAGACAAGUCAGCUGUGAAAACUAUGGGCUCAACCCAUAAACUGCAGUUGAAACUGUUUUUCUUGAGUGGAGUAGAGGUAGGCGGAAUUCCGAGUGUAGCGGUGAAAUGCGUAGAUAUUCGGAGGAACACCAGUGGCGAAGGCGGCCUACUGGGCUCUAACUGACGCUGAGGCUCGAAAGUGUGGGGAGCAAACAGGAUUAGAUACCCUGGUAGUCCACACUGUAAACGAUGAUUGCUAGGUGUGGGGGGUCUGACCCCUUCCGUGCCGCAGCUAACGCAAUAAGCAAUCCACCUGGGGAGUACGAUCGCAAGGUUGAAACUCAAAGGAAUUGACGGGGGCCCGCACAAGCAGUGGAUUAUGUGGUUUAAUU